GACGAACGCUGGCGGCGUGCUUAACACAUGCAAGUCGAACGCUGAAGCUCAGCUUUUGUUGGGUGGAUGAGUGGCGAACGGGUGAGUAACACGUGAGUAACCUGCCCCCUUCUUUGGGAUAACGCCCGGAAACGGGUGCUAAUACUGGAUAUUCACUGGUCUUCGCAUGGGGGUUGGUGGAAAGGGUUUUUCUGGUGGGGGAUGGGCUCGCGGCCUAUCAGCUUGUUGGUGGGGUGAUGGCCUACCAAGGCUUUGACGGGUAGCCGGCCUGAGAGGGUGAACGGUAACAUUGGGACUGAGAUACGGCCCAGACUCCUACGGGAGGCAGCAGUGGGGAAUAUUGCACAAUGGGCGCAAGCCUGAUGCAGCGAUGCCGCGUGAGGGAUGGAGGCCUUCGGGUUGUGAACCUCUUUCGCUAAUGGUCAAGCCGCAACAAUGGUUGUGGUGAGGGUAGUGGGUAAAGAAGCGCCGGCUAACUACGUG
rnacentral:rRNA from 1 species